rnacentral:rRNA from 1 species
UACGGAGGGUGCAAGCGUUAUCCGGAUUCACUGGGUUUAAAGGGUGCGUAGGUGGGUCUGUAAGUCAGUGGUGAAAUCCCCGAGCUUAACUUGGGAACUGCCGUUGAUACUAUAGAUCUUGAAUAUCGUGGAGGUAAGCGGAAUAUGUCAUGUAGCGGUGAAAUGCUUAGAUAUGACAUAGAACACCAAUUGCGAAGGCAGCUUACUACACGAUCAUUGACGCUGAGGCACGAAAGCGUGGGGAGCAAACAGG